rnacentral:rRNA from 1 species
UACGGGGGGGGCAAGCGUUGUUCGGAAUUACUGGGCGUAAAGGGCUCGUAGGCGGCCAACUAAGUCAUACGUGAAAUCCCUCGGCUUAACCGGGGAACUGCGUCUGAUACUGGAUGGCUUGAGUUCGGGAGAGGGAUGCGGAAUUCCAGGUGUAGCGGUGAAAUGCGUAGAUAUCGUUUGGAACGCCAAUGGUGAAAACAGGUAGCUGGGAGUGUGCCGACGCUGAGACACGAAAGCCAGGGGAGCGAACGGG